AAGGAUUUAAGUUAAAAUAAACUAUUAACCUUCAAAGUUAAAAAUAGACAAUUAUCUAAGCCUUA
rnacentral:tRNA from 1 species